CAGCACUGCAAACCCUGAGCUCCAUGAACGCAGGGACGGAGUCGGCCUUAUUCACAGCUGUAACACAGCACCCAGCAUGUGUGCCAAGCAACCAGCUCCACAGUAACUCUCAGGACAACCCUGCAAGGUUUGUUCUGGCGGCCAUGUUGAGAGUAGACGAAGAGACCAAGAGUGGAAGCUGGGAGGCCAGUCAGAGUCCACUGCAAUAAUCCAAGU